AGAAUCAACGCUGGCGGCGUGCCUAACACAUGCAAGUCGAACGCGAAAGUCCCGAAAGGGGUUAGUAGAGUGGCAAACGGGUGAGUAACACGUGGGUGACCUGCCUUCGAGUGGGGGAUAACGUCCCGAAAGGGACGCUAAUACCGCAUAACAUCCUGCUUUUUAACAGGUGGACAUCAAAGCUGGGGAUCGCAAGACCUAGCGCUUGAAGAGGGGCCCGCGUCUGAUUAGCUAGUUGGUGGGGUAAUGGCUCACCAAGGCAACGAUCAGUA
rnacentral:rRNA from 1 species